rnacentral:rRNA from 1 species
AUUGAACGCUGGCGGCAGGCCUAACACAUGCAAGUCGAGCAGGGUUUUCGGACCUAGCGGCGGACGGGUGAGUAAUGCGUAGGAAGCUGCCCGAUAGAGGGGGAUACCAGUUGGAAACGACUGUUAAUACCGCAUAAUGUCUACGGACCAAAGUGUGGGACCUUCGGGCCACAUGCUAUCGGAUGCGCCUACGUGGGAUU